GAUGAAGAACGCAGCGAAAUGCGAUAAGUAAUGUGAAUUGCAGAAUUCAGUGAAUCAUCGAAUCUUUGAACGCAUCUUGCGCUCCUUGGUAUUCUGAGGAGCAUGCCUGUUUGAGUGUCAUUAAAUUCUCAACUACACUGACUUUGAAUUGGUGUGGCUUGGAUUUGGGGGGAAAAUUGUUGUGGGCUUUUUGUAUAGUCUACUCCCCUGAAAUUGAUUAGCGGUACCUUUGUGGAACUGUCUACAGGUGUGAUAAUUAUCUACAUCUUAGACAUCUGCUGGAAUGCUGCUUUCUAAACCUUACUUGUAUUGACAAUCUUGACCUCAAAUCAGGUAGGACUACCCGCUGAACUUAAGCAUAUCAAUAAGCGGAGGA
rnacentral:misc_RNA from 1 species